UGACACGCCGUCACCCCUCUCCUUCUCUCUCAAAUUCCGUCUGCCUAAACCCCAACUAUCCUUUGGCGACUGCUUGCUCGCCCGUAAAAAAUGGUGGUUCACCACCACCUCUAUCCCUAAUGGUUCCCCCAUGACUGGAUUCUUGUUGUCUUGAGGUCCUCAAGGGACCAUUGGAUGUUCACUCACCACCCAUGUCCUGUUCUCGCCGUUCUCAGACCACCAUGGCCCGAUUGAGUAAGAUCUUCAUAUUUCUCAGCUAAACAUAUGGGUUUCUAAGCCGAGCUCUCUCUAUUUCUGGGUUAUUUUCUAGAAUACCCUAAUCUAUUCUCAU
rnacentral:lncRNA from 1 species